GACCCCAGUGGGAGGUGUUGGGAGAGUCGGUGUGAGAGGAGUGGGAGCGAGCGGUGCAUCAGGGGUGCGGCACUUCGCAGACAUUUACGUCUUGGCCGUAGGUGAAGAUGGCAGGGGUAGAUGGGCAGGCAGUGAGGGAUCGCCUGUUAAAUUAGAGUAUAAAAUCAAACUAUAAAAUCCACAGAGUAUAAAAAGGUGGCGGAAGAGUAAUAACAAUAGUGAUUUGGGUAGUAAAGUUACUUUUGUGACAUUAGGCCUCUUAUUUGUUAUCCAGUACAGGAUUGAUGCAAAGAACCACAGUAGAAAAAAAUCUGCAGGGGUAUAAGACCAUGAUUUGCAAAUGAGCUACACCAUCUGGACUGGCAUCAAUAAACACUAAAUGAUACAUGCUUACAUCAGUGUGUGUGUGUGUGUGUGUGCAACUGAAAGAUAAACCACGACACUGGAAAUUUUGGUUCAGUUACUUCUCCUUUUGUAUUUGCUGAUUAGAAGCUCAUACAUUUUCUUCUCUUAGAAACUUUGGUUUGACUAUCAAGUCAGCAAGUCAGCUUAACUAAAUGUCAGCAGGUGCCAUUUAUUCGGUUGUAAAUUUAAAGAAAAAACGUCAGGACGACGCACAGGGCGAAGAUGUCGUCUACACCGAAAUUAAAUUCCCUGACUCUCUCUGCCCCCAAAACGUGUCUCAUGAUGGGAAAGCUGGGAAAGAUAAACCUGGAUCACACCCCCAUCCCUACAGACUGACUGUAGUUGGCCUGGUGAUGUUGUGUUUUCUCCUGAUCAUCUGCAUCAUUGUCCUGAGUAUCUCUUUACAUAGAGCCAACCGGAAAAGCUCAGUGAUGGAAGGGGACGUGCAGCAGCUCACGUCAAAGAACUGGAAUCUGACUAUAGAGAAGAAACAGAUACAGGAAGAAAUCAGCCAGAUAGAGCAAAACUGCAGCUCCCUGGCCAGUGACCAUAUCCAGCUGAAGGGAAACUACAGCAUCACAGCUAAAGAAAAGGAUGAGUUACAAAACAACUAUGAAGCCCUGAAAAAUAAACUACAGCACUUAUUCUGUGGCACCACUGACAUGCAGAAACCAUGUCCACUGUGCCCACAGGGCUGGGAGCUGUUCCACUCCAGCUGCUACUUUAUCUCCAAGGACCAGAAAUCAUGGAAGGACAGUCGGACUGAAUGUCUUAAGUGGGGAGCGGACCUGGUGAUUAUAGACAGCGAAGAGGAAGAAGACUUCAUUAAGAAAAAUACAUAUGAUUACUGGAUUGGACUGACAUAUAAUGCAGUGAAGAAAGAUUGGAUUUGGCUGGAUGGCACAUCUCUGACAGGUUUCCAGAAGCCAUAUUACUGGGAUGGAUACUGUGCUGUGAUCCGAAGCUGGUCUACUUCAUGGCAGCUUCAGGCUUGGACCUGCGACACAAAGGCUCGAUGGAUCUGUGAGACUAAAGCGCUGCUCCUACAUCACCUCUGAACAGCAUUAAUGUGGAGGCCGAAAAAAGUAACCAUACGGAUCAUGCAACGAAAAAGUAUGUAACCUUAACAGGCAUGUAUUCAAUCAGGUAGUAUCUCUAAAUUAGUGAAAUAGGAAAUGAAUGGUUGCCAUUUAUGGAAAAAUUUGACUGUACUUCCUUUCAAGUUUUAAGAAAAUCAUGACGUCUUUAAGCCACUGGGAGAUAGGGGGAUAUUUAGGAGACUUCCAAUGUAUCAACAAUAAACGUCUUGCUAAUAGGGACUAUAAGCUAUAACAUCCUUUUGAGUAGAGUUAAGUGCAAGUGAGCGAUCAGGAAUCCCACAUAUUGCAAUCAGAGGACAAGUGUCAAGGUAAACAGGACAGAAAGACCAGGAUCCAGGUAUGCAAGCCGAACAGCGCUUUGUUCUGGAAAACCAGACAGAAGCACCAGAAGGGACAGGCGAGAAGCAGGGUGGAAAAACAAGGGAGGGGGUCGUUAGCCAGGGGGUCAGUCCUACGAGGAGAGACGAGACAGGAACACACGGGGUUAAGGGGACGAGACGAGUUGGGGCAGGCAGGGUAGUCGGGUCAGGUGCGGGAACGGGUCUGGAACGGGAGAGAGAGAGAGGUAAGUGGAAGACACGAGGUAAACAGGCAGGGCUCGGAAGAUGGGGAAGACAAUGGACAAUAGAGUGCUUAGUAAGGCUUCGAAUCAUCAGCGCAAUACUUCGCACCGGACUGGUGAUCUCUAGCAGGUUUUAUCCCUAGCCCUGUUACUCAUAAUGAGCUGCAGCUGGGGGUGUCCUCCUGUGUGGGCGUGACAACAAGGUUGGAGAAUUAACCCAAGAACAAAUGAUAUAGCAGAAAAAUAACCCACCCAGAAAUCCUCCAGCUCAGGGCAAAGAAAAAACAUAUGGCUAAGUGUUAGAGUCGCUGGGGAGCGGGUAAUGCAGACGGGCAGGAAGCGGGCAGGAAGCGGGCAGGAAGCGGGCAGGAAGCAGGCGGAAUACGGGGUUUUAAUCGGGCACAGACCUCGACAAACAUCAAUGACGGACAAAGAACUAAUCAAGACAUGGACUGAAAUAGGCAAGACAACAGGGUACAGCUGGGUACAAUCAGGGAAGCACACGUGGAUAAUCAGGGGGGCGUGGCACACACGAGGAUCGUACGAGCCGGGCAUGACACUAAGGUGACAAGGAGAGCCGUGGCAUUUAUCACAUUUGUCUUCCACUUCCGGAAACAGUUCAGAAAGUCGAGACUUAGAGAAAUACGCCCUUUGUAUGACCUUAAAUUGAAUAAGUCCAAGACGAGCACAAGAGGUGGUAGAUAGAGGCCCUCUCUAUGGCCUGAUCCCAGAAUUCCUCAUGUAUUUGUAUUCCCAGUUCCCCUUCCCAUGUACGCUUAAGUUUAACAUUUCAGUGGUUGCCAAAAGAGAGGAUGAUGAUACACGACUUUCAGAUGAUUCCCCUGUGAUGGGGACUAAAUGAUAGCAUGGUUUCCCACAGCUGUUCAGGUGGUAAAUAGGUGGGAAACCACGGUGGCAAGUUACAAGUUAAGGUCUUUUGUUCUUGCCAGAAAGUGUAUUCCGUGACGUUUAUGCGAUUCAUUGAUCCUCCGCUAUAUCGCGGAUUUUUCCCCGAUGCCUCCCGGUUCUCUGCGUAUCGCGUACUUUGCUUGUGGUCCGAUUGUUGUCGUUUUGUCUUAAGCCCCAUGAUGGCUCCCCAGCGUCCUGCACCUUCUAAGCCUUCCGGUAGUAGUGAGCCUAAGCGCCAGAGGAAGACCUUGACUGUUCAGGAGAAGGUAAAACUCCUGGAUAUGCUUCGGGAAGGAAAGCGUUACGCGGACGGCACUCGCCAUUAUGGCUUGAAUGAAUCGACGGUACGAUACAUCAAGAAGGACGAAAAGAAUAUAAGAUCCAUAUAUGUUUUUAUUGUUACAUAUUCCAUUACGUAUACAGAGAGAGAGAUGUGUGUAUAUAUAUAUACAUAUACAUACAUUACAUAUUAUUAUUAUUAUGUUACUCAUAUCCUUAGCCAGACAUUCACAUAUCAUAUGUGUUGUUUUAAUAAGUUUACAUGUGUUUAAAACGUGUGGGAGGGGGAUUUUGAGGCUUAAACUAUAAAAAUGUCUAUAUGGUCUAUCUAUAUGGCGGAUUUUCACCUAUCGCUGAUGGGUCUGGACCGCAUCUUCCGCGAUAGGUGGGGGGGGGGGUCACUGUAUAAUCGUGUGUGGUUUUGCUCAGCAGGGAGAGGCCAAGUGUUAUACUUGCCGUAGCUAUGUGCUACCAUAAGAUGGUGCUUAAUCUUCUCCAAAACUAUUGUAAAAAUCAUAAAAGCAGCCCAGUAUUUACAUUCCUCUUCAAUAAAAAUGCUCAGGCUGAAGAAGCAAUACAUGUAAGUAAUGUUAACUAUAUCUGUUAUUUCAACUGAUUGGUGUAUUAUUAUUUUAUGCUUUGAUGUCCAACCAUACACAGUACAAAGAGUGACUCAGGAUUAUCCAGCAGUUGAAGGAGAUCUACAGAAGAUCACAAAGGGGGUUUUCUUCUUUGAUAUUGCAUCUCUAACCCAUUACUGGUCUAAUUCUCUGUGAAAAUGUACCAAAGUUUAGAAAAUCAGGGCAAAUCCUUUUUCGGAGUGCAGUGUUGUCAGCUCCAUAGCUGUUCAUUGUUUGUGGCUGUUUAGGAGGAUGUCGGGGGCAGUGGGAUGUGGAUGAGCUAAAAAAGAGAAUUUAUCCAUUACCAAUGAUUGGCUGGGGACAAAUGGAGACAAGAAGGCCCAGUGGAUUUGGUCUUCACUUGAGUGAGGUCACUGAGUGCUGCCCAGUUGAUUAUCAUCUAUUUCAUGACCCCCUAAUGGUGGAACGAGCUGCUGAACCACAUCUGGUCAUCAGACUCCCUCUCCACCUUCAAGAAACGACUCGACUCAUCAGUCCCAGGAAUUCCUCUGCCAGCUUAAUACCACUCUGUGUUCCCUGAAUGCUCUUAAUAUUUGAAUGAAUAACUGAAUAGUCCUUUUAUUGGGCCCUUGCUUUGCUUGGGGAAUGUUGUGUAGCUCCUGCCCCAGUUCUGCUUACACUUGUUUCCAGGCCUUCAUUGGAAGCUCUGCCUAGUCACACUUAUGCCUGUAGUUGACUGUAGUUGACUGUAAUUGACUCCUUGACAGCUACUAUGUUUGUAAUUCUAUUCUCAUUUUUACAUCGCUUUGGAGAUAAGAGUCUGCUAAAUGAAAUUAACGUAAAUGUAAUCUAUCUUAUAUUGUGUUGACUCAUGUUUAAGUUCUUCUAAAUAAACACGCCUGCAUGUUGUGAUAAAAAUGUGAUAUAUACACAUUAA